rnacentral:rRNA from 1 species
CCUACGGGAGGCAGCAGUGAGGAAUAUUGGUCAAUGGGCGUAAGCCUGAACCAGCCAAGUCGCGUGAGGGAUGAAGGUUCUAUGGAUCGUAAACCUCUUUUAUAAGGGAAUAAAGUGCGGGACGUGUCCCGUUUUGUAUGUACCUUAUGAAUAAGGAUCGGCUAACUCCGUGCCAGCAGCCGCGGUAAUACGGAGGAUCCGAGCGUUAUCCGGAUUUAUUGGGUUUAAAGGGUGCGUAGGCGGCCUUUUAAGUCAGCGGUGAAAGUCUGUGGCUCAACCAUAGAAUUGCCGUUGAAACUGGGAGGCUUGAGUAUGUUUGAGGCAGGUGGAAUGCGUGGUGUAGCGGUGAAAUGCUUAGAUAUCACGCAGAACCCCGAUUGCGAAGGCAGCCUACCAAGCCAUGACUGACGCUGAUGCACGAAAGCGUGGGGAUCAAACAGGAUUAGAUACCCUUGUAGUC